rnacentral:rRNA from 1 species
GACGAACGCUGGCUGCGUGCUUAACACAUGCAAGUCGAACGGAAAGGCCCUGCUUUUGUGGGGUGCUCGAGUGGCGAACGGGUGAGUAACACGUGAGUAACCUGCCCUUGACUUUGGGAUAACUUCAGGAAACUGGGGCUAAUACCGGAUAGGAGCUCCUGCUGCAUGGUGGGGGUUGGAAAGUUUCGGCGGUUGGGGAUGGACUCGCGGCUUAUCAGCUUGUUGGUGGGGUAGUGGCUUACCAAGGCUUUGACGGGUAGCCGGCCUGAGAGGGUGACCGGCCACAUUGGGACUGAGAUACGGCCCAGACUGCUACGGGAGGCAGCAGUGGGGAAUAUUGCACAAUGGGCGGAAGCCUGAUGCAGCAACGCCGCGUGCGGGAUGACGGCCUUCGGGUUGUAAACCGCUUUCGCCUGUGACGAAGCGUGAGUGACGGUAAUGGGUAAAGAAGCACCGGCUAACUACGUG